AUUGAACGCUGGCGGCAGGCCUAACACAUGCAAGUCGCACGAGUGGCGGAAGGGUGAGUAAUAUAUGGGAAACUGCCUGAUGGAGGGGGAUACAUCCUGGAAACAGUAGCUAAUACCGCAUACCAUCGGAUGUGCCCCGGUGGGCUUGGCUAGUAGGUGGGGUAACGGCGCACCUAGGCGACGAUCCCUAGCUGGUCUUAGAGGAUGACCAGCAACACUGGAACUGAGACACGGUCCAGACUCCUACGGGAGGCAGCAGUGGGGAAUAUUGCACAAUGGGCGCAAUCCUGAUGCAGCCAUGCCGCGUGUAUGAAGAAGGCCUUCGGGUUGUAAAGUACUUUCAGCGGGGAGGCGUUACCCGCAGAAGAAGCACCGGCUAACUCCGUGCCAGCAGCCGCGGUAAUAC
rnacentral:rRNA from 1 species